rnacentral:rRNA from 1 species
CGUGCUUAACACAUGCAAGUCGAACGAUGAACCAGGAGCUUGCUCUUGGGGAUUAGUGGCGAACGGGUGAGUAACACGUGAGUAACCUGCCCUUGACUCUGGGAUAAGCGUUGGAAACGACGUCUAAUACCGGAUACGAGCUUCAGCCGCAUGGCUAGGAGCUGGAAAGAAUUUCGGUCAAGGAUGGACUCGCGGCCUAUCAGCUAGUUGGUGAGGUAAUGGCUCACCAAGGCGACGACGGGUAGCCGGCCUGAGAGGGUGACCGGCCACACUGGAACUGAGACACGGUCCAGACUCCUACGGGAGGCAGCAGUGGGGAAUAUUGCACAAUGGGCGAAAGCCUGAUGCAGCAACGCCGCGUGAGGGACGACGGCCUUCGGGUUGUAAACCUCUUUUAGCAGGGAAGAAGCGAAAGUGACGGUACCUGCAGAAAAAGCACCGGCUAACUACGUGCCAGCAGCCGCGGUAAUACGUAGGGUGCAAGCGUUGUCCGGAAUUAUUGGGCGUAAAGAGCUCGUAGGCGGUUUGUCGCGUCUGCUGUGAAAUCCCGAGGCUCAACCUCGGGUCUGCAGUGGGUACGGGCAGACUAGAGUGCGGUAGGGGAGAUUGGAAUUCCUGGUGUAGCGGUGGAAUGCGCAGAUAUCAGGAGGAACACCGAUGGCGAAGGCAGAUCUCUGGGCCGUAACUGACGCUGAGGAGCGAAAGGGUGGGGAGCAAACAGGCUUAGAUACCCUGGUAGUCCACCCCGUAAACGUUGGGCGCUAGAUGUG